rnacentral:rRNA from 1 species
UACGUAGGGACCGAGCGUUGUCCGGAUCAUUGGGCGUAAAGAGCUCGUAGGCGGCUGUUCAAGUCGAACGUGAAAACUCGGAGCUCAACUCCGAGCCUGCGUUCGAUACUGGACGGCUAGAGUCUGGUAGGGGGAUCUGGAAUUCCUGGUGUAGCGGUGGAAUGCGCAGAUAUCAGGAGGAACACCGGUGGCGAAGGCGGGAUCCUGGGCCAGUACUGACGCUGAGGAGCGAAAGCGUGGGGAGCAAACAGG